GGCCACACAGCUUAGCUGGUAGAACGAGCGCUGUACAAAAGCGUAGGUGGCAUCUAUGCGUGGGUUCGAAUCCCACCGAGGCUA
rnacentral:tRNA from 1 species